CAAGUACUCCCUCCAUCUAGAAUUACUUGUCAUCAAAAUGGAUGUGUCUAGAACUAAAAUACAUCUAGAUACAUCCAUUUCAAUGACAAGUAUUUCCGGAUGGAGGGAGUACAAG
rnacentral:pre_miRNA from 1 species